UACAGAGGUCUCAAGCGUUGUUCGGAUUCAUUGGGCGUAAAGGAUGCGUAGGCGGAUAUUUAAGUGAGAUGUGAAAUACCCGAGCUUAACUUGGGUGCUGCAUUUCAAACUGGAUAUCUAGAGUGUGGGAGAGGAGAAUGGAAUUCCUAGUGUAGCGGUGAAAUGCGUAGAGAUUAGGAAGAACACCAGUGGCGAAGGCGAUUCUCUGGACCAUAACUGACGCUGAGGCAUGAAAGCGUGGGUAGCAAACAGG
rnacentral:rRNA from 1 species